AAGGGCACCACAAGAACGCGUGGAGCAUGUGGCUUAAUUUGACUCAACGCGGGAAAUCUUACCGGGUCCGGACACACUGAGGAUUGACAGGUGAAACAUAUUAGUUAAUUUUUAACGAUUAGCUAUAUUUAAAUAUGCUAGUCCUUUCAUGAUUGUGUGAUAGGUGGUGCAUGGCCGUUCUUAGUUCGUGGAGUAAUCUGUCUGCUUAAUUGCGCCAAUAAUGGAGUAAGCCUUAUGUCACAUUUCCAUUACACGCUGAAAUAUUGCAGUGAUGUGAAUCCUGUGACGGCGAACGCUCCGAAGGCAACGAACGAGACCGCAACCUUUAGUUGUUUCGAUUAGUUGAUUUAUUAGCUUUUGUAAGAACAAUCUAGAGGGACCGCUGGUAAUCUGUAACCCAGAGGAAGGUUGCGGCAAUAACAGGUCUGUGAUGCCCUUAGAUGUUCCGGGCCGCACACGUGCGACAAUGAUCUAUGCAAUAAGCAUAUCAAAACGUUUGUACAUUCUUUUUGUAUAGAAAUAUACAUUAAGGUACAGGCAAGCCGACUUCGAAAGUAAGUUGGUAAUCAAUUCGAAAUAUAGAUUUCCAUUUUUGCAUAUUAACUCUUUAAUCAUCCUAUGAUUAAGAGAUGCAUACAACGAAUUCAUGGUGGGGACAGACCUUUGUUAAUUGUUGGUCUCGUUUCAACUAGGAAUGCCUUGUACGGGUCUUGGUUCAACAAACCACCCGGAAUACGUCCCUGCCCUUUGUACACACCCGCCCCGUC
rnacentral:rRNA from 1 species